rnacentral:rRNA from 1 species
CCUACGGGAGGCUGCAGUGGGGAAUAUUGCACAAUGGGGGAAACCCUGAUGCAGCGACGCCGCGUGAGUGAAGAAGUAUUUCGGUGUGUAAAGCUCUAUCAGCAGGGAAGAAAAUGACGGUACCUGAUUAAGAAGCUCCGGCUAACUACGUUCCAGCAGCCGCGGUAAUACGUAGGGGGCAAGCGUUAUCCGGAUUUACUGGGUGUAAAGGGGGCGUAGACGGCAGCACAAGUCUGGAGUGAAAUGCCGGGGCUUAACCCCGGAACUGCCUUGGAAACUGUGCAGCUAGAGUGCAGGAGGGGUAAGUGGAAUUCCUAGGGUAGCGGUGAAAUGCGUAGAUAUUAGGAGGAACACCAGUGGCGAAGGCGUUUUACUGGACUGUAACUGACGUUGAGGCUCGAAAGCGUGGGGAGCAAACAGGAUUAGAUACCCUGGUAGUC